GGGGAAUAUUGCACAAUGGGGCGCAAGCCUGAUGCAGCGACGCCGCGUGAGGGACGACGGCCUUCGGGUUGUAAACCUCUUUCAGCACAGACGAAGCGCGAGUGACGGUAUGUGCAGAAGAAGGACCGGCCAACUACGUGCCAGCAGCCGCGGUAAUACGUAGGGGCCGACGUUGUCGGAAUUCUGGGCGUAAGAGCUCGUAGGUGGUUUGUCGCGUUGUUCGUGAAAACUCACAGCUCAACUGUGGGCGUGCGGGCGAUACGGGCAGACUAGAGUACUGCAGGGGAGACUGGAAUUCCUGGUGUAGCGGUGGAAUGCGCAGAUAUCAGGAGGAACACCGGUGGCGAAGGCGGGUCUCUGGGCAGUAACUGACGCUGAGGAGCGAAAGCGUGGGGAGCGAACAGGAUUAGAUACCCUGGUAGUCCCGCCGUAACGGUGGGUACUAGGUGUGGUUUCCUUCUUGGAAUCGUGCCGUAGCUAACCAUUAGUACCCGCCUGGGGAUACGCCGCAAGCUAAACUCAAAAAAUUGACGGGGCCCCCAAAAAGCGGCGGAACAUGUGGAUUAAUUCGAUGCANCGCGAANAACCUUUACCUGGGUUUUGACAUGCACAGGA
rnacentral:rRNA from 1 species